CUCUCUGUUUUCUCCAGCUGACCUCUCGAGAAUCCAGUUGCCCGUGGUGCCUCGUUUUAGUCAAUUAGAGAUAACUGGUGGGAAGUGGCUACUGCUGUUCACACAACAUUUCUGAAAGUCCGAGCAGGAUCUGGGAGACCGGAAGGAAUAGCUACGAGCGGAGCAGGAGAUCAGGAGCACACUUCUUCCAGAAGCUUUUAUCUGCUGAAGUCUAGGAUGGCGAGUUGCGGGUCUUGUUUCUGGUGCAUACUCUGGCUGGUGAUUCUGAUUCACAUCGGCUGGCCCCUCGCAAUCCUCUUCGGGGCCCUCUACGGCCUCAUCAGCCCCCUCACCACCUGCCUCGGCCUGGACCGAUUCUCCGAUCUGCUCCUGGCGGGGGCCAACCUGGGCCGGACCUGCGCCAAUAACAUGAGGCACUCCAAGCCUUUGUAUUGAGAUCAAUCUGGAGAGGCCAUGGCAAGAGACGGAAGGCUGAUAGUGGCUCAUCUACAGAGAAAAGCCCUUUCACUUUGAGGAGGUUUUUUAUUAUGUGGAGGUAUCCUGAGAUACGUGGUGCUAAAUAAAGUGAGAAACUUUAAUUUUUUAAUGUUUACCAGCUUAUGUAACAAUAAGGUCCGGAAGGUCUGGAAAAUGGAUUCCACUCGUUUUGUUAACACAUAAUUAACCAUGGAUUUCAAUUUUGUGUGGGUUUGUCAGGAAGGAAAUAGACUUUGUGUUCAUGGUCUGUGUUUGGUGUUUAAUUCACGAUGACACUGCAAGAAGAAGAUAAGAGUUAAAAUGGCAAUUUAACAAAGGAAAUGCUUAGACUUGUAAAUGACUGUAUGGAAACUUUUAAUGCGAUUAAAACUGCUUUGAACUUGC